rnacentral:rRNA from 1 species
GGUGAAGGAGAGCUUGCUCUCCGGAUCAGUGGCGAACGGGUUGAGUAACACGUGAGCAAUCUGCCCCUGACUCUGGGAUAAGCGUUGGAAACGACGUCUAAUACCGGAUACGAGCUGCGAAGGCAUCUUCAGCAGCUGGAAAGAACUUCGGUCAGGGAUGAGCUCGCGGCCUAUCAGCUAGUUGGUGAGGUAAUGGCUCACCAAGGCGUCGACGGGUAGCCGGCCUGAGAGGGUGACCGGCCACACUGGGACUGAGACACGGCCCAGACUCCUACGGGAGGCAGCAGUGGGGAAUAUUGCACAAUGGGCGCAAGCCUGAUGCAGCAACGCCGCGUGAGGGACGACGGCCUUCGGGUUGUAAACCUCUUUUAGCAGGGAAGAAGCGAAAGUGACGGUACCUGCAGAAAAAGCACCGGCUAACUACGUGCCAGCAGCCGCGGUAAUACGUAGGGUGCAAGCGUUAUCCGGAAUUAUUGGGCGUAAAGAGCUCGUAGGCGGUUUGUCGCGUCUGCUGUGAAAACCCGAGGCUCAACCUCGGGCCUGCAGUGGGUACGGGCAGACUAGAGUGCGGUAGGGGAGAUUGGAAUUCCUGGUGUAGCGG